rnacentral:rRNA from 1 species
AGAGUUUGAUCAUGGCUCAGAACGAACGCUGGCGGCGCGCCUAAUACAUGCAAGUCGAGCGAGAAGGUGUAGCAAUACACUUGUAAAGCGGCGAACGGGUGAGGAAUACAUGGGUAACCUACCAUCGAGUGGGGAAUAACCAGCCGAAAGGUUGGCUAAUACCGCGUACGCCUCCGGAUUUACGGAUUCGGAGGGAAAGCCACACUGUGAGUGUGGCGCUCUUUGAUGGGCUCAUGUCCUAUCAGCUUGUUGGUAGGGUAACGGCCUACCAAGGCUUUGACGGGUAGCUGGUCUGAGAGGACGAUCAGCCACACUGGCACUGCGACACGGGCCAGACUCCUACGGGAGGCAGCAGUAAGGAAUAUUGCGCAAUGGACGAAAGUCUGACGCAGCGACGCCGCGUGGGGGGUGAAGGUCUUCGGAUUGUAAACCCCUUUCGGGAGGGAAGAUGGAACGAGCAAUCGUUCGGACGGUACCUCCAGAAGCAGCCACGGCCAACUUCGUGCCAGCAGCCGCGGUAAUACGAAGGUGGCAAGCGUUGUUCGGAUUCACUGGGCGUACAGGGUGUGUAGGCGGUUUGGUAAGCCUUCUGUUAAAGCUUCGGGCCCAACCCGGAAAGCGCAGAGGGUACUGCCAGGCUAGAGGGCGGGAGAGGAGCGCGGAAUUCCCGGUGUAGCGGUGAAAUGCGUAGAGAUCGGGAGGAAGGCCGGUGGCGAAGGCGGCGCUCUGGAACGUACCUGACGCUGAGACACGAAAGCGUGGGGAGCAAACAGGAUUAGAUACCCUGGUAGUCCACGCCCUAAACUAUGGAUACUAAGUGUCGGCGGGUUACCGCCGGUGCCGCAGCUAACGCAUUAAGUAUCCCGCCUGGGAAGUACGGCCGCAAGGUUGAAACUCAAGGAAUUGACGG